rnacentral:lncRNA from 1 species
GCCGUUCCCACCCCCCAUCAGCGUGUCUGCCGCUGCAUGCGCCAGCCCCAGCCCACCGGAGCCAGUGCCCACACCGCUGCUGCUCGCCGGGGCCCCGUCGCCGCAGGUGCCGCUGCUCCUGGGUGCCUGCAGCCGGCCCCGCUUGGCGGGAGGAGGCUGCUGCCCGCCGUUCCCACCCCCCAUCAGCGUGUCUGCCGCUGCAUGCACCAGCCCCAGCCCACCGGAGCCAGUGCCCACACCGCUGCUGCUCGCCGGGGCCCCGUCGCCGCAGGUGCCGCUGCUCCUGGGUGCCUGCAGCUGGCCCCGCUUGGCGGGAGGAGGCUGCUGCCCGCUGCGCUUGGUGGCUUUGCUUGCUGCCAGUGGCGGCAGCUUGCCUUUUGCCCGCAGCUGUACCAGAUUCAUCCUGAUGGCAUUAU